AGACGAAGAAGAAGAAGAAGAAGACCAGGUUCUUGAAGAUAUUGGAAGCAAUGAAAUUGUCAUGCCAGAUAUAAUCUUCAGUGACGAUUUGUUUCCAAGCUUAGAGGAUUUUGAACAACUCCUUCUGGAUCAUCAUUCAGCAGCUACUGUUGUUUAGUCUUUGUUCAUUAAACGGCAUAUUCAUUUGAUUUGCCAAUCGCAGUGUACAUGAUCUUCCUUUCCUUUCCCACAUUCUUUUCUUGUAAUCUUUGAUUUGAAUAGUCCAUCCGCCUUCAAAAAGAUGGCUUUAGACAUCAG
rnacentral:misc_RNA from 1 species